UACGUAGGGUGCAAGCGUUGUCCGGAAUUAUUGGGCGUAAAGAGCUCGUAGGCGGUCUGUUGCGUCGGCUGUGAAAUCCCGAGGCUCAACCUCGGGUCUGCAGUCGAUACGAGCAAACUAGAGUGUUGCAGGGGAGACUGGAAUUCCUGGUGUAGCGGUGAAAUGCGCAGAUAUCAGGAGGAACACCGGUGGCGAAGGCGGGUCUCUGGGCCGAUACUGACGCUGAGGAGCGAAAGCGUGGGGAGCGAACAGG
rnacentral:rRNA from 1 species